GGCCAGUGCCAUCGUCGGCUUCCGAGCCAUGAUGUGUGCUUGGUCAUCCGCAUGGGAAGCCAGUUCGGCCUUCACUGGUCGGCUGGGGGAUCAUGCUCUUUACUUUGAAAAAAUUAGAGUGUUUCAGGCAGGCCAUUGCUUGGAUACUUCAGCAUGGAAUAAUGGAAUAGGACUUUGACCUAUUUGUUGGUUUCUCUCAGAGGUCAGAGUA
rnacentral:rRNA from 1 species